UACGUAGGGAGCAAGCGUUGUCCGGAAUCAUUGGGCGUAAAGCGCGCGUAGGCGGCCUCAUAAGUCCGUUGUGAAAGUCAAAGGCUCAACCUUUGACAGCCGAUGGAUACUGUGAGGCUAGAGUCCGGAAGAGGCGAGUGGAAUUCCUGGUGUAGCGGUGGAAUGCGCAGAUAUCAGGAGGAACACCAAUAGCGAAGGCAGCUCGCUGGGACGGUACUGACGCUAAGGCGCGAAAGCGUGGGGAGCGAACAGG
rnacentral:rRNA from 1 species